rnacentral:rRNA from 1 species
CCUACGGGAGGCAGCAGUGAGGAAUAUUGGUCAAUGGGCUUACGCCUGAACCAGCCAAGUCGCGUGAGGGAAGACUGCCCUAUGGGUUGUAAACCUCUUUUGUCAGGGAGCAAUUGGCGCUACGUGUAGCGUUAUCGAGAGUACCUGAAGAAAAAGCAUCGGCUAACUCCGUGCCAGCAGCCGCGGUAAUACGGAGGAUGCGAGCGUUAUCCGGAUUUAUUGGGUUUAAAGGGUGCGUAGGCGGAAUGCAAAGUCAGCGGGAAAAUCGCGGGGCUCAACCUCGCUCCGCCGUUGAAACUGGCGUUCUUGAGUGGGCGAGAAGUAUGCGGAAUGCGUGGUGUAGCGGUGAAAUGCAUAGAUAUCACGCAGAACUCCGAUUGCGAAGGCAGCAUACCGGCGCCCAACUGACGCUGAAGCACGAAAGCGUGGGUAUCGAACAGGAUUAGAUACCCGGGUAGUC